rnacentral:lncRNA from 1 species
UGGCACUGUCCUGUGUUUGGUAUGCAUAAGAAUCCUUGCGUACUUUAAAGGCUUGUUCAGGGGAGUGGCAGCCUCCACCACAGAAUAGCAAGCACCGAUGUAUGUGUACUAGUGUGUCUGUUUCCAGGUCCCCACUGUCUGCACUCGGCUUGGUUGGGUGACCCUGGCAGUUUACUAGGGCUACUAAGACUCUCAGGCCUGGCCAAAUCCCCUGGAGCCGUUUCAUUGUGUGCCUUGACCCUUAUAUCAGCCGUAUCCUUCCUACCAUUUUUUUUUUCCUCUUGCAGAAAGUGACUGUGACCCUCCAACCUAGACUGUCUACUAGCUUUGACAAUGACCCCUGUCCUGCUAUUGAUGCACCAAGACUCAACACCUAGACCCACGAGAGUAGAUGCUCAGGAAAGAUUUGCUGACUGAACACAUGAUUGUGUCUACGCCUAGCAGUACUUUGUUGCGGGAUGGGCCCUGGCAGGGUUGGUAAAGCCCUCAUUUGUAGACAUGGAACCUCCCAGCUCCAGCCCUGCUAAGAACUGACAGAACUUGGCUAGCUCCAUGUUUUGUUCACGUGACUCUCAACCUGGUGUGGCCUGGACUCUAGUCCCUGCCUCAAGGAAAGUCCAGACUGACAUAGAAAAUCCCUGCUCACCAGCCUUGACCUUGGGAGAAAGCCCCUGACCUGUGAGUGGACAGAAGGCCUGGUGGUCAGCCCGUGGGAGCCCUGGAGCGUGCACUGCUGGAGCAGCUCAGAAAAAGCUGAGAAGCCAAGACUUGACUGUCAGUCCUGGAGAAUUAGAACAUGCCUGCUAAAUUUCAGUCCACUCUGAGGAAGGGGCAGUGCCCACAAGGAAACCUAGUGGGUGGGGUUCUGGCUGGGACUCAUCUGGAGUUCCCAGGGCAGAUGCCCGGCCCCAGCUUAUAGACCAUGAUGCGGCUGGGCUUCCGUGUCUGAUUCUUAAGUGCCUCAGGUAAACAGACUCUCCUUUGCUUUGCCAGGAGGAAUGACAUUACUAUCAGCAUUGUAAAAGUCUGUGGCCUUUGGGAGAGUAAUUUUACUUCUAAGACUCUCCUCUACAGAGAAGUGUGCACACUGUUCCCAGUGGAGUCUAUAAAGAUAGCAAAGAGCAAAGACUUAAAACAGAAUGGCUCUGGGUUUGAAGUGUUGUGUAUCUAGACAAUGAACAGCCCACCUUUAAACAAGCCCCACAUGGACUGAAGCGGAGGCAGCUCCAAAUGUAUUAGGUGACAGUGCCACAUGGCUCUGUGUGAUGGUAAGAUUAUAUGUGUACAUGUCAUCUCGAAAGGAGAAUUCGGCUUAUCUCUGGGGAGAGAGUCUGCAUCUUUUCUCAUUUGUACCGAGUAUGGAGUGUGUAUCUAUCUCUCUGUCAGAAAUGUCAAGGGAAGGGUUCACCAUUGACCUGAUGCUCACGAAGGUUAGGAACCAAUGCCAACCACAAUGCCCACCUCUACCUUCAGGAGACAGUAAACGCCUUAGAAUACAAAACCCAUAAACAACCAAGACUGUGGUGCCUGCUGGGGCUGGGCCUGAGCUGCACACAGAGGCUAGGUACCGAACAGCUGCCAUGGUAAACUGGCACAGUUAGGCACGCGGCCGGGUUCACACGCCCUCUGCCCUGACUUUAAAGACAGCAGUCUUGGCCCAGCUUCCCUCACCCCCUAUGUAUGAGCAGAGAGCUAUACUUGCUGGGUUUCCAGCUCUUGUAUUUGGACUCCUCUUCUCUUUUCUCUUUUUUGAGAGAGGGUCUCACUGUGUAUUCGUGGCUGCUCUGGAACUUCCUGGACCAGGCUGGCCUUGAUGUAGAUCUCUG